rnacentral:lncRNA from 1 species
AUCAGAACUUGUGUAAUCUUUCACACACAUAGUUCUUUAGCUCCCUGGGCCUGGAACACAGUCUCAAUUCUUUCUGAAAUUUUAGAGAGUACUGAUUCUUCAACAUCAAGGUCACAUAUCGCUCAAUCCUUCAUCUGAACAGUCAUAUUAUUUCUCAUCUAGACCAUUCAUUUGGACUACCUGGGGAUACUCCUGAACUAUUAUCUAAAAGUCUGAUUUAAUUCUUCAGGUUUUCCUGCAGAAAGCAAAUCCUUUACUUAUUGCUAUACCUCCUAUCACCUUAGCAUAGUAGAGAAACUUUAAAAUUCACUGAAACCUGUCAGGUAAACAUGGGUGAUUAAACAAAUGUGUUAAUCUCUGCUCCCUCUCAAAUUUCCAGCAAAAUUACAAGAAGUUAUGGAAAAUGUACUGAUUCAUACAUGACAAGGCAAUGAAAAUUGAAGAGAAGACUUCAACAGGCAAGAAAAAGAAAAGCUAGAGAGGAAUAUGACAAAGGAAUGAAAGAAAAAAUAAGGCACAGGAAAAUGAAUCUCAAAAGCAGGCAGAAGGAGAUAACAAGACUUGGCAAAGAGAACCCGAACUGGAUUUCAGCCCUGACUUCUGCCUGCUCAUCUGGACAGUUUCGUCCAAGGAAAUGUGAGAUCUCUUCGGCCAAGAAGAACAACCUGAGGACUCUAUUUCUGGAGCAUUUGACUCUUGGUCCUUGUGAGCUCCUUGUUCCUGCAAAGUUGGCUGGGGUCACCAUAGUCGGUCAAAAAAAUCCAUCAAUGACAGAGAUAGGGAAUCUCCAAUCUCUAUCCCAAGAUGUGUUCUCGAUGACUUAA